UCAACGCUGAAGAGCAGACACUGCGCUGACCACAUACCAGUGCUUUUUGAAGUACUGAAGAGCAUUCUGGGGGCUACUGCUUUUUCUUUUUUUUGCCUCAAAACAUAAACCAUAGUUUCUGUUUUAAUUUUAUAUACAAUUUGUUGUGCUAUUUAUGAAGAUUUUUUUAAUCGGAAAAUCUCUCUGAGAAGAGUUAACUGGAAUGAAAGCAAGUAAACCUGACAUGUUCCAGCAGUGGAGCUUCAAAACCAGCUUGCCUGUGGAAGGAGUACCCUCCCUCUGGAUUCUCAUCUCCCUGGAGAGUCUGAAAUUCAUGAACUGCUGUCCAUGAAGGUCCAUUGUAGAGGAUUGCUCUCAACCCCAUUAAAAAAUUAAAAAAUCUAAAUAUCAGUGAUUGUCUCUUCCUUGAUGAAAGUGAAUAUAAGGAGUAGGUUGCCAUAGCAAAGAAGAGAACAGAAGCUGGGAAUUUCCUUCUGGUUUUUGGCAGAAGAAAAGUGGUACUUUCCCUUAACUUCAGCUGCUGUUUACUCAGAAAGU